rnacentral:rRNA from 1 species
GACGAACGCUGGCGGCACGCUUAACACAUGCAAGUCGAACGGAGAUAUUUAGGUUUACUUAGAUAUCUUAGUGGCGGACGGGUGAGUAACACGUGAGCAACCUGCCUUUGAGAGAGGGAUAGCUUCGGGAAACUGAUGGUAAUACCUCAUAACGUACAUUUGCCGCAUGACAGAUGUACCAAAGAUUUAUCACUCAAAGAUGGGCUCGCGUCUGAUUAGAUAGUUGGUGAGGUAACGGCUCACCAAGUCGACGAUCAGUAGCCGAACUGAGAGGUUGAUCGGCCGCAUUGGGACUGAGACACGGCCCAGACUCCUACGGGAGGCAGCAGUGGGGAAUAUUGCGCAAUGGGGGGAACCCUGACGCAGCAACGCCGCGUGCAGGAAGAAGGUCUUCGGAUUGUAAACUGUUGUCGCAAGGGAAGAAGACAGUGACGGUACCUUGUGAGAAAGUCACGGCUAACUACGUG